rnacentral:rRNA from 1 species
CGUAGACUGUAAAAUAAGUUUUUUGUUAAAUUUUAAGACCUAAUCUUAACAUAGCAACUAAUACUAUUUUACUAUGAGUCUAAUACAGAAAAGUAGAAUUUUAUACGAUAGAGGUGAAAUUUGCAGAUAUAUAAAGGAAUGCCAAAAGCGAAGGCAACUUUUUGGUAUAGACUGACGUUGAGGGACGAAAGCGUGGGUAGCAAACGGGAUUAGAGACCCCGGUAGUCCACGCCGUAAAUUCUGAGUGCUGUAAUUUAAUUGUAAUAUUUUUUAAAUAUUAUUUAGAUUUUCAAGCUAACGCAAUAAGCACUCCGCCUGAAAAGUACGAUCGCAAGAUUGGAACUCAAAGGAAUUGACGGGGGUCUAACACUGGUGGUGGAGCAUGUGGUUUAAUGCGAUAAUCCGCGCAAAACCUUACCAAUUCUUGACAUAAUUUUAUAAUUUUGCUUAAUCUUAUUUUGUAUAGUUUAAUUAUUUAUUACAGGUGUUGCACGACUGUCGUCAGCUCGUGUCGUGAGAUGUUUGGUUAAGUCCUGAAACGGGCGUAACUCUUACUUUUA